rnacentral:rRNA from 1 species
CGAUGUUCUCGAAAUUUUUNAAAACCUGAUCAAUCUGCGACGCUAUAGCUUUGGGUAAUUUCAGGACCCGUCUUGAAACACGGACCAAGGAGUCUAGCAUGUACGCAAGUCAUUGGGAUUAUUUUUUUUGAAUAAUCAAAACCUAAAGGCAUAAUGAAAGUAACAAAAUCGAUCUCUCUCUCUUUCUUUCAUCCUAAUUGCGGGGUGAUUGAAAUGUUUGAUCGAUAACGGGAAGAUGAAUAUUUUUCCGCAUUCCCGGGGCGUUUCAUUUACAUUGUGUAAAGAGGCGCACCAAGAGCGUACACGCUGGGACCCGAAAGAUGGUGAACUAUGCCUGGUCAGGACGAAGUCAGGGGAAACCCUGAUGGAGGUCCGUAGCGAUUCU